UGAAAUUAUUGAUGUGAAUGUUCGGCCUAUUGUGGAUGGAGGCUUUCAGGAGCCUAGCAACUCCUUCAGUGUGAAGGAGCCAGCAAAGCCAGGGGUUGAACAGCCUAAAAAGGAGCAGGAGAUGAAUGUUCCUCUAAAUGAUAGCUUGCUGGUUGGGCACGGUGGUGCUUCAGCUUCUGCUCCUCCACCUCCACUCCCCCGUUCAGAGGCUACUUCAACAGUGUUGUAUCCCAUUAUUGACCUGGCUGAAUCAGAAGCCGAUGAGACAUCUCAUCCAGCAGUCUCUUUUACCGGUUUACCAACAUCAUCUGAAGAGAUCCGUAGUGAUAAAGAUGCUGUUGAGCAGACCCUCCUCAGGGAACUCGAGG
rnacentral:lncRNA from 1 species